ACUAUUUUGGCAGAAAAAAUGUGAUGAUUUUAGAAUUCAUAAAUAUAUGAUUUUAAUUAUAUAGAUAGUA
rnacentral:tRNA from 1 species